GACGAACGCUGGCGGCGUGCUUAACACAUGCAAGUCGAACGGAAAGGCCCUGCUUUUGUGGGGUGCUCGAGUGGCGAACGGGUGAGUAACACGUGAGUAACCUGCCCUUGACUUUGGGAUAACUUCAGGAAACUGGGGCUAAUACCGGAUAGGAGCUCCUGCUGCAUGGUGGGGGUUGGAAAGUUUCGGCGGUUGGGGAUGGACUCGCGGCUUAUCAGCUUGUUGGUGGGGUAGUGGCUUACCAAGGCUUUGACGGGUAGCCGGCCUGAGAGGGUGACCGGCGACAUUGUGACUGAGAUACACCGCAGAGUCCUCUGGGAGGCAGAAGUGUGGAAUAUUGUACAAUGGGCGCAAGAGUGUGGCGCCACCGCGGCGCGUGCGAGAAGGCCGUUUUCGUGUUGAACACCUCUCGCGCCUGACGAAGCGUGAGUGACGGUAAUGGGUAAAGAAGCACCGGCUAACUACGUG
rnacentral:rRNA from 1 species